UUAGAUCGGAGAUUACAAGAAGGGAGAUUGGGGAAAACUCACAAGUAGAGACAUAUGAAUCUGAAUCAACAAAGUAAGUGAUGAAUCCCAAGCAAGAUUGUUUCUCUGAAUAAACCCACUAUUUUCGUUUCUUCUUCUUGGACUGUGUCUUUGUGUCCUCUUUUUUAUUCCAACAAUGGAAUCAGUCUUCUGUAUGUGUCUUCUCCUUCGUUUCAUCAAUGGGAUUAGUCAUUUCUGGCUGUAUGGGUCGAAUAUUCAUGGAAAAGUUUAGGUUUAGGUCGAAAAUCAAGAGUUUUAGUCCAUCGUUUAUUCUACUUCGGCUUCUUCAUAAGAGAAUUAGGUUCUUCAAUUUG
rnacentral:lncRNA from 1 species